ACCAAACCAUCGUCAGCACCAUCGGAGACCCCUUGAGUUCAAGGAGGAUUCAGAACUGCAGAAUGAAGAAAAUCCUUUUUGGGUCCCUGAAAGACUCACCCGAAUCUUGUUGGAUCAAGAAAGGCAUACAACCCAGCCACCCAGUAAAGAUGAGUAGGCCCCUUCUGCUGAUGAUCCUGACAAUCGAAGUCGGGCUCGUUUAAGGGGAACCACGCUGGGGUAUCAUGUCAACCUUCCCGCUGCCUAUGCUGGUGAUGUAUAAUGCCCAAGUUUACCCCAGAUUCUUUGUAACUAAUAAAAAUUUAGGCCUUGCCUAUCUACCCCGAGAUGAGCAGAUUGAGGAGCUUAUGGAAAACAGGACUAUACCCCUUAAGGGAAGUCUGUGUUUUCUAGUAGAAGGAAAUAAUUUUAGCAGCCCCUGUAUUAUACUAGGAAAUCUUUCUUCAGCAUGGUUGAAAGAAGCCACGGUUGGUGGCAAAGCCUUUAACAUCGUGGCAAAUGCCACAGUACUCUAUGGGUGGUGGCCACGGUCUCCCACUACUAAUAAAACUUCUGCCCCACCGAUUCAACCAAAAUUGGCCCCGUUUUGUACUGGCCGACAAGAUAAAGGAUUGGCCUUGCCAUGGACGGGAUGCCAAUCCAGGGAUGCCAUGUGGGCCGUGGAAGGCCUGUUCUCUUUUUCUCCCAAUAUAGGGAGAGGAUCAAAUUUUACUGUCAUGGACCCCGACCAAGCUAACACAAACCCUUUUGAUCAGUGGUUGCUCUGUGGAGUUAAUGGAAGCUGCACAGAGCAUUAAUGAUCUGUCCGCCACAGUAUUUCUGGCUAUAGAUAAGCAGACCUCCGCUAAUACUCAAAUACAAGGAGGCCUUAUGUUGGUCAAUCAACGCAUUGAUCUAGUACAAGAGCAGUUGGAUAUUUCAUGGCAAAUGGCACAGCUGGGGUGUGUGCAGAAGCUCCCUGGCCUAUGUAUUACUUCUAUCCCAUAUGAAAAUUUUACUAGAGCAGCUAAUCUAUUUAAGAGCCUUUCUCAGUACAUUUUGCAGAAUUGGACUUCUGAAUUUGAGCAGACGCUCCGCGAACUGAGGACGGCCGUACUCCAGAUCAACUCCACACGUCUUGAUCUUUCCUUCACCGAGGGACUGUCAUCUUGGAUCUCUUCAGCUGUUUCCUACUUCAAGGAAUGGGUGGGAGUGGGAAUGUUUGGUAUGGCCGUCUGCUGCGGACUGGUAUUUCUCCUAUGGAUGGUCUGCAGACUCAGAACCCAAAAUAAGCGAGACAAGGUGGUUAUUGCGCAUGCACUUGCGGCCCUGGAACAUGGGGCUUCCACUGACGUGUGGUUGACUAUGCUCAAGCAAUAGAUUGCUGACAAGAUAGCUCUUGCACGCCCAGAACCUAGGUUCAUUGCACUGGGCAGAGUGUCCAACACAGCACCCAAAGAGGGUUGUUGAAUAAGGUAUCGCACAGGGGGUCAUUGUCCCGCUGAGAGACAUGUCGUUCCGCAUAAGGGUUGCCUGCCCGAGUUUC